GCUGAGGCAGAAUCACUUGAACCUGGGAGGCGGAGGUGGCAGUGAGCUGAGAUUGCGCCACUGCACUCCAGCCUGGGCAACAUAGUGAGACUCCAUCUCAAAAAAAAAAAAAAAAAAGAAAAAGGUAGCUCUAAUGAAAAGGAAGAGAAGUAGAAUCAGAAGUUAGGACAUCUAUUGCUUGAUGCUUCUGGGAUGGGUAAGAUGUAGUUCUGGUGAUAGAAGUUGAAGCUGCAGCAUAAUGAGAGAUGAAAGAGAAACUGCUCUUCUGGUGAUUUUAACCCUAGGGAUGUAGCUACUGGGACAGGAGGAAGUGAGGGACCCAGUGCUGCAGGGUCCCUAUUGUCACAUAUGUCAAUCCUACUUUAAAGUCAAAUAAUGGAUUCUGGCUGAUAAAGCCUAUCAGAAUUAUGGUGUUGAUACGAAAGUGUCACAUAGCCACCAAAAUGUGUUCUCUACUUUCUUGCUUUGCUCUGAUUAGCUAAGUCUUGGUCACAUGGCUUUAUAGCACUGGGAAAACCAGGAUCUGGUCUUUUAUAGGGUAGGAAGUGAGCCCUAUCUUUUGUGUAGAUUUGUGGCGGGGAGUUUCCCAAGCAUGGGAAAUGGGCUCAGAUGAUGUGGUUAUAAAAUGUGAAUGUCCAUUAAAAGGCAGUCAGUGUUGGCUACUCUAAGCCUUCAAAUUGUUGCUUUUCCCCUUCAACAGGGACCAAGGGGAGAUACUGGAAACCUCUGAGCUUCAGCUGUUGGUUUUUGGGUUUUGUUUUUGUUUUAUUGAGAUACAGUUCACUUAACUAUACAGUUUACCCAUUUAAAGUACACAGUGUUUUUUAGUAAAUUUACAGAAUUGUGCAACUAUUACAAUUUUGGAACAUUUUUGACACCUCCCCCCAAAAAAACCCCUAUGCCCUUUAGCAGUCAUCCUCAGUCUCCUCAGCCCUAGGCAACCACUCAUCUACUUUCUGUCUUUAUAGAUUUGCCUAUUUGGGACAUUUCCUAUAAAUGGAAUC
rnacentral:sRNA from 1 species